GAUGAACGCUAGCGGCAGGCUUAACACAUGCAAGUCGAGCGGAGAUGAGGUGCUUGCACCUUAUCUUAGCGGCGGACGGGUGAGUAAUGCUUAGGAAUCUGCCUAUUAGUGGGGGACAACAUUCCGAAAGGAAUGCUAAUACCGCAUACGCCCUACGGGGGAAAGCAGGGGAUCUUCGGACCUUGCGCUAAUAGAUGAGCCUAAGUCGGAUUAGCUAGUUGGUGGGGUAAAGGCCUACCAAGGCGAUGAUCUGUAGCGGGUCUGAGAGGAUGACCCGCCACACUGGGACUGAAACACGGCCCAGACUCCUACGGGAGGCAGCAGUGGGGAAUAUUGGACAAUGGGCGGAAGCCUGAUCCAGCCAUGCCGCGUGUGUGAAGAAGGCCUUUUGGUUGUAAAGCACUUUAAGCGAGGAGGAGGCUACCUGGAUUAAUACUCUAGGAUAGUGGACGUUACUCGCAGAAUAAGCACCGGCUAACUCUGUGCCAGCAGCCGCCGUAACAC
rnacentral:rRNA from 1 species